CCUUCGAUAGCUCAGUUGGUAGAGCGGUGGACUGUAGCGGAUUUGCCAUAAAGUAGACAUCCAUAGGUCGCUGGUUCAAAUCCGGCUCGAAGGA
rnacentral:ncRNA from 14 species